AUGAACGCUGGCGGCGUGCCUAAUACCUGCAAGUCGAGCGAACGGACGAGAAGCUUGCUUCUCUGAUGUUAGCGGCGGACGGGUGAGUAACACGUGGAUAACCUACCUAUAAGACUGGGAUAACUUCGGGAAACCGGAGCUAAUACCGGAUGAUAUUUUGAACCGCCUGGUUCAAAAGUUAAAGACGGUCUUGCUGUCACUUAUAGAUGGAUCCGCGCUGCAUUAGCUAGUUGGUAAGGUAACGGCUUACCAAGGCAACGAUGCAUAGCCGACCUGAGAGGGUGAUCGGCCACACUGGAACUGAGACACGGUCCAGACUCCUACGGGAGGCAGCAGUAGGGAAUCUUCCGCAAUGGGCGAAAGCCUGACGGAGCAACGCCGCGUGAGUGAUGAAGGUCUUCGGAUCGUAAAACUCUGUUAUUAGGGAAGAACAUAUGUGUAAGUAACUGUGCACAUCUUGACGGUACCUAAUCAGAAAGCCACGGCUAACUACGUG
rnacentral:rRNA from 1 species